rnacentral:tRNA from 1 species
GGGGCUGUAGCUCAGUGGUAGAACACUUGCCUUGCAUGCAGGAGGCACUGGGUUCGAGCCUCAGCACCA